AUUGAACGCUGGCGGCAGGCCUAACACAUGCAAGUCGAGCGAGCGGCGGACGGGUGAGUAAUGUCUGGGAAACUGCCUGAUGGAGGGGGAUAACUACUGGAAACGGUAGCUAAUACCGCAUACCAUCAGAUGUGCCCAGCUGGGAUUAGCUAGUAGGUGGGGUAAUGGCUCACCUAGGCGACGAUCCCUAGCUGGACUGAGAGGAUGACCAGCCACACUGGGAUGGAUACACGGUCACGUAGCCGACGGGAGGCAGCAGUGGGGAAUAUUGCACAAUGGGCGCAAGCCUGAUGCAGUCAUGCCGCGUGUGUGAAGAAGGCCUUCGGGUUGUAAAGCACUUUCAGCGGGGAGGCGUUACCCGCAGAAGAAGCACCGGCUAACUCCGUGCCAGCAGCCGCGGUAAUUC
rnacentral:rRNA from 1 species